rnacentral:tRNA from 1 species
GUUGGAAUAGCUCAGUCGGUUAGAGUAUGUUGCUGUUAACCAAAAGGUCGAAGGUUCAAGCCCUUCUUCUUGCG